rnacentral:rRNA from 1 species
UACGAAGGGGGCUAGCGUUGUUCGGAAUUACUGGGCGUAAAGCGUGCGCAGGCGGUCUUCCAAGUCAGUGGUGAAAGCCCGGAGCUCAACUCCGGAACUGCCAUUGAAACUGUGAGACUCGAGUACGAGAGAGGUGAGUGGAAUUCCCAGUGUAGAGGUGAAAUUCGUAGAUAUUGGGAAGAACACCGGUGGCGAAGGCGGCUCACUGGCUCGUAACUGACGCUCAGGCGCGACAGCGUGGGGAUCAAACAGG